GCAAAUACAGCUCUUUUGA
rnacentral:snRNA from 1 species